ACAGCAGUCGCCGCGGUAAUGCGUAGGUGGCAAGCGUUGUCCGGAAUUAUUGGGCGUAAAGGGCUCGCAGGCGGUUUCUUAAGUCUGAUGUGAAAGCCCCCGGCUCAACCGGGGAGGGUCAUUGGAAACUGGGAAACUUGAGUGCAGAAGAGGAGAGUGGAAUUCCACGUGUAGCGGUGAAAAGCGUAGAGAUGUGGAGGAACACCAGUGGCGAAGGCGACUCUCUGGUCUGUAACUGACGCUGAGGAGCGAAAGCGUGGGGAGCGAACAGGAUUAGAUACCCGCGUAGUCCCUGUCUCUUAUAC
rnacentral:rRNA from 1 species